UAACAAGGAUUCCCCUAGUAACUGCGAGUGAAGCGGGAAAAGCUCAAAUUUAAAAUCUGGUAGUCUUUGGCUGCCCGAGUUGUAAUCUAGAGAAGCGUUAUCCGCGCUGGACCGUGUAUAAGUCUCCUGGAAUGGAGCGUCAUAGAGGGUGAGAAUCCCGUCUUUGACACGGACUCCCAGGGCUUUGUGAUGCGCUCUCAAAGAGUCGAGUUGUUUGGGAAUGCAGCUCUAAAUGGGUGGUAAAUUCCAUCUAAAGCUAAAUAUUGGCGAGAGACCGAUAGCGAACAAGUACCGUGAGGGAAAGAUGAAAAGAACUUUGGAAAGAGAGUUAAACAGUACGUGAAAUUGUUGAAAGGGAAACGCUUGAAGUCAGUCGCGUUGGCUAGGAAUCAGCCUUGCUUUUGCUUGGUGUACUUCCUGGUUGACGGGUCAGCAUCAAUUUUGACCGGUGGAAAAAGAUCAGAGGAAUGUGGCAUCUUCGGAUGUGUUAUAGCUUCUGGUUGUAUACAUCGGUUGGGAUUGAGGAACUCAGCACGCCGCAAGGUCGGGGUUCGCCCACGUUCGUGCUUAGGAUGCUGGCAUAAUGGCUUUAAUCGACCCGUCUUGAAACACGGACCAAGGAGUCUAACAUGCCUGCGAGUGUUUGGGUGGUAAACCCGAGCGCGUAAUGAAAGUGAAAGUUGAGAUCCCUGUCGUGGGGAGCAUCGACGCCCGGACCAGACCUUCUGUGACGGCUCCGCGGUAGAGCAUGUAUGUUGGGACCCGAAAGAUGGUGAACUAUGCCUGAAUAGGGUGAAGCCAGAGGAAACUCUGGUGGAGGCUCGUAGCGAUUCUGACGUGCAAAUCGAUCGUCAAAUUUGGGUAUAGGGGCGA
rnacentral:rRNA from 1 species